GCGUUGUUCGGAAUUACUGGGCGUAAAGCGCGCGUAGGCGGGCUAGUAAGUUAGAGGUGAAAUCCCAGGGCUCAACCCUGGAACUGCCUUUAAUACUGCUAGUCUUGAGUUCGAGAGAGGUGAGUGGAAUUCCGAGUGUAGAGGUGAAAUUCGUAGAUAUUCGGAGGAACACCAGUGGCGAAGGCGGCUCACUGGCUCGAUACUGACGCUGAGGUGCGAAAGUGUGGGGAGCAAACAGGAUUAGAUACCCUGGUAGUCCACGCCGUAAACGAUGUUCACUCGCUGUUGGCGAUAUACUGUCAGCGGCCAAGCGAAAGCAUUAAGUGAACCACCUGGGGAGUACGAUCGCAAGGUUGAAACUCAAAGGAAUUGACGGGGGCCCGCACAAGCGGUGGAGCAUGUGGAUUAAUUCGAUGAUACGCGAGGAACCUUACCAGGGCUUAAAUGAUAAUUGACCGUCGCCGAAAGGUGUCUUUCUUUUAGACAAGUAUCAAGGUGCUGCAUGGCU
rnacentral:rRNA from 1 species